UUUCAUUCCAAGUGUACUGCAAAAAACACAUUUUCAAUCUCUAUUUUCUCUCUUUGAUUUCCUUUGUUCUGUCUUAUUCUCUAAUUCUCGCAAGCCUGGAAAUAGGGGAGCUUUCUUCUCCUUCUUCGUUUGUUUUUCCCUCUCGUUCGUGCAAGGAAGAUGGUCUGGUGGUGGCGAGAAUCGACGGCGCUACGAAGGCGCGACUCAAGCUUGUUCUCGCCUUCGAUGGCGGUUCGCAGUGGACUUCCAGGGUCCUUCAUUGUGCGGAUGGACCUUCUCCUUUUCCCUUUCUUGUUCUGGCUCGCGAUGUAAGACAAGAGGGCGUUCUCGUGGUGGUCGAGAUCGCGGAAGCUCCCUCUUUUUGAAGCAACCAACGACGGUAAUCUGUUAUUGCAUUGGGGUUUCUGAUCUUUCUUCUGACUUGGGAAUUCUCUUUUAGGAGCUCUGUUCUUGCUUUCUCAAAUUGUGUUUUGGGGUCAAAGUUCUGCUUUGGAAAAAUCUUGUGAUCUUGAUUCCGUAAUGUUUCAGUUGGGGUUGAUGAUCGAGAAUUUGGGGGUUAUGGCUUUCAGAUUCUGUUUUGGAAUUGGGGUCCCUGUUUUGAGUUUAUGACCUCAGGGUUUGAGUGUAGGGUGUUUGAGUUAAAUUUCUGGGUUUUCUUUUCUUCGCAAUUACGGACUGUUGGUGAUGGUUGUGCGAAAUAGGGCAGGUCUGGAGGACUCAUAAUCAUAAUCUAUUGUUUUAAUUAAUGGUGUGAGAAAGAUGGGGACUACGCCUGAGGCCAACGCGAGUAAUGUAGUGGACGAAGAAACACUCGGCGACUACAUGCUCUCUAACGUGGCUUCCAACUCCGACCUCGCUGACCAGGGUCAGUCAGCAGCAGCGCUCCUCCGCAUUCCAACUCCCUCGAAGGCGGCCACAGUGCCCUCGAGGCUCAUAGUCUGCCUCCCGCGAAUUAUAUGAGCACAACUUUUUCGCUGGAAUCCUGUCAUCCAAUUGCAAAUUGUUAAUAUUUGAUGAGUUUGUCCACUUUCACAUUUGUUAAUUUAAUACUCAUUCAUACCAUAACUUUUCUGUUUGUAUAAUAAUGUGUACAUAUAGUUUUUGCAAUGAGUGCGCAGAAAUUGAACUUGAAAUUAUGUUAUGAAAAGUUAAGAGAAAAAAAAAAAAAAAAAACUUGUGCCACAGGGCCUGAACCUUGAUCCAUCAUUGCUAAGGUUUAUUCGACUCUUCACCCCGCUGGGUGUGGAGGAGGGGAGGGAUUGCAGUUGUAUGUUGGGUACAGUCUCUUGAGUGAUUGAAGAAUGGAGUUUGAGCAAUUGGGGAGAAUAGUGAGAUCUUGAGUGGUCUUUGUGGCUUCAGGAGGAGUGUGAUUCUCGCGGUUCUGUGAUUUUGAACAAGUAUAAGGAGUAUAGGAAGUUGGCUAAGUUGUCCUCUGAGAUAAUGCUCACGAGAGGUAGAGAUAUAUUUGGAGGAGAUUCUCUCCCUUAUGCAGCUUGGUGAUUACACUGAAUUCAUGAUUUCAAAGAUCAAAGGGCACUUCUGUUGAUCCUGAGUUGCUUCCCCGUGCAGAGCUUUAGGAGUGGCAAUAUCAGCAAGUUGUGACCCUGAGUUGCUUCUGUUAACUGGAUUUUAUGUGAUUUUGGAGGGAUUUACACGUCAGGAAAGCAAUAAGGAUUGAUGAACACGUGCCUUUACUUCUUUACCACUUACUUCUAUGGUGUAUGAUGUAUUUUAUGUAUUGCACAGUUGCCUGCGGAGGGCAAUAUCCACUUCCAAUAUCAGUUCUGUUGUUGCCGUUUUGAGUGGUGCCAGCAUUUUACUCGGUAAUGAAUAUAAUGAAAUAUAAUAUGGACAGCAAAAAAUAAGAGAGCCUUGGUGCAAAGUUGUUAUUUGGUGGCGUUGGUGUGCAAAAGACAGAAAUUGCAACAUAUGGAUGUUCUGAAGCUAAAACAUGAAAUUGAAGACCAGUGUGCUGAGGUGAGUAUAGUUGGCACAUCAUUAUGAGGUAAUUUUAGGUUCCUAGGUUAUGAAGACCAGUGUUUGUGCAGUUUGUGUCAUUUAAUUUGUACAGGAUUUAGUUUUGAAUUUCUCUAACAUGAUUUAGAGUUUUAUAGACUGUAUAGGAUAAAACCAAUUUCAAGAUUGACAUUUUUUGCAACUUCAAAACCUCAAAACCACACAGAUUGAGGAUGCUUCUGUCCUUAGUUUAUAAUGUAUAUGUAGGUCAUUUUCUUUAUUUUUAUGUAUACACAAGUUUAUGCUACUACGGGAGAAUAAAGAUUAUUACGGUUCA